AACGCACGAGACCUGCGGACCUGCGGAGGGAUCAUUACAGGACUCGCAAGACUCCUACAACCCUGUGAACUUAACUAUAAGCACGUUGCUUCGGCGGGUGUCUCGGCGAGGGUUCUCCCUCCCCGGGGCGCUAAGCCCGCCGGCAGCCUACUAUACUCUGUCUCUUUGCGUUGGCAUCUCGAGUACAAACAAACAAGUUAAAACUUUUAACAAUGGAUCUCUAGAUCGGAAGAGCACACG
rnacentral:misc_RNA from 1 species